UUGACACUUAAAUUUCAAUCUGUCUCUACUCACCUCUUUGGCCACAUUCUUUGCUAGUUUCUUUCUUUGAUUUCCUCCUUUCUUUACUACUUUCUUCAUUGGUCUCCCCUCCCCUCAACAAUCAAAUUUCACUCUCCAGUGUUCAUUCUCUUAUUCACUGUCUAGCAUCCUUACUCAAGAAUGCUUCUCUCAAUCAGAUUAGAAAGCUUGGACAGCAGUCAAUUAUAAUUCAUGACACCAAAAUAGAGAAGACUAGAAAAAUACAAUUAUCUUCCUUCUUCUUGGACAGGGCAAAUUAGUAUCAUAACUGCACCAAUUCUAUCCAAGUUAGCAUAUCAAUUUAAUGCAAUUUUAAGAAAAAUCCCAACAACUUAGUUUUUUCUGUAGCUAUAUGAGUUAAAUCUGAAGUGCAUAUGCAAAAGAAACCCCCACUUUUUAAUGACUAGGAAAAUCUACCUAAAUAAGAGUAAUGAUAGGGGGCUACCACUACUUAGAUCUUGCUGUUUUGCAGGUGAGGAAGAUGAUGACAGAAAUAAAUGUGCUUUAAAAAUGAAAUAAGGUGUGAUGGUUAAGUUUAUGUGUUAACUUGGCUGGGCCAUAGGAUGCCCAGAUAUCUAAUUAAACAUUAUUUCUGGGUGUGUGUCUCCAGUGUAGAUGGGUAUCAUCCAAUCCAUUGAGAGCUUGAAU
rnacentral:lncRNA from 1 species